rnacentral:rRNA from 1 species
UACGUAGGGUGCGAGCGUUGUCCGGAAUUAUUGGGCGUAAAGAGCUUGUAGGCGGUCUGUCGCGUCUGCUGUGAAAAUCCGGGGCUCAACCCCGGACUUGCAGUGGGUACGGGCAGACUAGAGUGUGGUAGGGGAGACUGGAAUUCCUGGUGUAGCGGUGAAAUGCGCAGAUAUCAGGAGGAACACCAAUGGCGAAGGCAGCUCGCUGGGACGGUACUGACGCUGAGACGCGAAAGCGUGGGGAGCAAACAGG